rnacentral:rRNA from 1 species
UGGGUGAACCAGCGGAGGGAUCAUUACCGAGUUUACAACUCCCAAACCCAAUGUGAACGUUACCAAACUGUUGCCUCGGCGGGGUCACGCCCCGGGUGCGUCGCAGCCCCGGAACCAGGCGCCCGCCGGAGGAACCAACCAAACUCUUUCUGUAGUCCCCUCGCGGACGUAUUUCUUUACAGCUCUGAGCAAAAAUUCAAAAUGAAUCAAAACUUUCAACAACGGAUCUCUUGGUUCUGGCAUCGAUGAAGAACGCAGCGAAAUGCGAUAAGUAAUGUGAAUUGCAGAAUUCAGUGAAUCAUCGAAUCUUUGAACGCACAUUGCGCCCGCCAGUAUUCUGGCGGGCAUGCCUGUCCGAGCGUCAUUUCAACCCUCGAACCCCUCCGGGGGAUCGGCGUUGGGGAUCGGGACCCCUCACACGGGUGCCGGCCCCUAAAUACAGUGGCGGUCUCGCCGCAGCCUCUCCUGCGCAGUAGUUUGCACAACUCGCACCGGGAGCGCGGCGCGUCCACGUCCGUAAAACACCCAACUUUCUGAAAUGUUGACCUCGGAUCAGGUAGGAAUACCCGCUGAACUUAAGCAUAUCAAAAACGGGAAGGAAA